UACGUAGGGCGCAAGCGUUAUCCGGAAUUAUUGGGCGUAAAGAGCUCGUAGGCGGUUUGGUAAGUCGGGUGUGAAAUCUCCACGCUCAACGUGGAGGGGCCACUCGAUACUGCCAUGACUCGAGUCCGGUAGAGGAGUGUGGAAUUCCCGGUGUAGCGGUGAAAUGCGCAGAUAUCGGGAGGAACACCCGUAGCGAAGGCGGCACUCUGGGCCGGAACUGACGCUGAGGAGCGAAAGCGUGGGGAGCAAACAGG
rnacentral:rRNA from 1 species